rnacentral:rRNA from 1 species
GACGAACGCUGGCGGCGUGCUUAACACAUGCAAGUCGAAUGGAAAGGCCCUGCUUUUGUGGGGUGCUCGAGUGGCGAACGGGUGAGUAACACGUGAGUAACCUGCCCUUGACUUUGGGAUAACUUCAGGAAACUGGGGCUAAUACCGGAUAGGAGCUCCUGCUGCAUGGUGGGGGUUGGAAAGUUUCGGCGGUUGGGGAUGGACUCGCGGCUUAUCAGCUUGUUGGUGGGGUAGUGGCUUACCAAGGCUUUGACGGGUAGCCGGCCUGAGAGGGUGACCGGCCACAUUGGGCCUGAGAUACGGCCCAGACUCCUACGGGAGGCAGCAGUGGGGAAUAUUGCACAAUGGGCGGAAGCCUGAUGCAGCAACGCCGCGUGCGGGAUGACGGCCUUCGGGUUGUAAACCGCUUUCGCCUGUGACGAAGCGUGAGUGACGGUAAUGGGUAAAGAAGCACCGGCUAACUACGUG